GACAGAGGGUGCAAACGUUGCUCGGAAUUACUGGGCGUAAAGCGCGUGUAGGCGGACCACCAAGUCGGACGUGAAAGCCCUGAGCUCAACUCAGGAACUGCAUCCGAAACUGGCGGUCUGGAGUAGUGGAGAGGAAAGCAGAAUUCCUGGUGUAGAGGUGAAAUUCGUAGAUAUCAGGAGGAACACCGGUGGCGAAGGCGGCUUUCUGGACACUUACUGACGCUGAGACGCGAAAGCGUGGGAGCAAACAGG
rnacentral:rRNA from 1 species